GGGGCUAGUAAAGUGGCGCACGGGUGAGUAGCGCGUGGGUAAUCUACCUCCGAAUUGGGGGAUAACAUUGCGAAAGCGGUGCUAAUACCGAAUGACAUCACCGAGGCUACGGCCUUGGUGAUCAAAGGUGGCCUCUACAUGUAAGCUAUUGUUUGGAGAUGAGCCCGCGUACCAUUAGCUAGUUGGUAGGGUAAUGGCCUACCAAGGCUACGAUGGUUAGCUGGUCUGAGAGGAUGAUCAGCCACACUGGAACUGACACACGGUCCAGACUCCUACGGGAGGCAGCAGUGAGGAAUUUUGCGCAAUGGGGGGAAACCCUGACGCAGCAACGCCGCGUGAGUGAUGAAGGCUUUCGGGUCGUAAAGCUCUGUCAAGUGGGAAGAACCUGCUUCGUGAUAAUACCACGAAGCACUGACGGUACCACUGAAGGAAGCACCGGCUAACUCCGUGCCAGCAGCCGCGGUAA
rnacentral:rRNA from 1 species